UCACUAUAUCAAGCUUGGCUUGUUGUUGGACCCUUUGUCACAUGGUGACAGGUCCAAAAGGCAAUGACUGGUGUCAUACAGACUCUAUAUGCAACGAGCUUAUAACAGCACGCAUCUGGUGGUCGUGUGGCCCGGUUUUUUGAUAAAUAAAUUUCUCAA
rnacentral:misc_RNA from 1 species